GCUGGGCCCAGUACAGGCAGUGUGGUCUCCUCAUCUUCCGGUCCAAGUAAUGCUAGACGCAGCACAGACAGUUGCAGCAGAGCCAACUGUAGUGGAGGAAGCCUUAUCAGACCUCAGGAAAGCUGAAUGAGCGCCUCAGCCAACAACUCUCUCGGAUCAAGAAGUUGGGAGGGACGCAAAUUAAAUAAUUUCCAUUAUUAAACAGAGAAUUAUUACUCCCCUCUGGUAAAACUUAGACCUAGGCCAAGAUUACUAUUUCUGGCAAUGUUUGUAUCAGGAAGGAACUUUCACAGAUUUAAUGGGACCUGCGCCAUUGUACAUGGCCUUCUGUAUGGCAUGGUGCCAUCAUUUCCACAGCAAAAAAAAAAAAGUUAGGGAGUUAUCCAAAGUGAAUUGAAAACAGGAUUGUCCCGUUUAUAUGACCCCAAAUGUGGCUUUUAUUAUAUUCAAUAAUAUUUGAAUCAGUUCUGUUCAAUAGGCCCCCAUGUUAUGAGGGAAACCGGCUCUCCACAUGUGUGAAAAGAUCUAGAGACGUCUUUGAGGAUUGUUUCAGGGUGUCUGUCCAGCCAAUGGUGCAACAAACAUCAAUUGUCUGUGUUAUGUCUGUGGUCCAUAUGCGUAAUCCCAUAAACUCUGUGGUAGGGGUGUGACACAGACUAGCACAUCAAAUACAUCCCCACAAUAGGCCUCUGUAGACUAUUAGGACAUAGACUCAACUAUCCAGGUUUUUAAUCUGAUAGGGGAGAGCUCUUCAUUUGUUCCUGUAUGUGUGAUGAGAACAUCAUCUAAAUGCAUCAGGACCCUUUGGGAGACUUUAUUUUAUUUUAUGCUGGAUAUUUGGAGGCCUAUCCAUGUUGAUCUGUUGCUAAGGGCCCGGCCAAGAGGAGAGGAGCUAGUUCCUCGGAUACAGUGGCCUGGGAGCCCCAGCUGCCCAUCAGUGGAGAUGG